rnacentral:rRNA from 1 species
GGGGAAUUUUCCGCAAUGGGCGCAAGCCUGACGGAGCAAGACCGCGUGGGGGAGGAAGGCUCUUGGGUUGUAAACCCCUUUUCUCAAGGAAGAACACAAUGACGGUACUUGAGGAAUAAGCCUCGGCUAACUCCGUGCCAGCAGCCGCGGUAAUACGGAGGAGGCAAGCGUUAUCCGGAAUGAUUGGGCGUAAAGCGUCCGUAGGUGGCAGUUCAAGUCUGCUGUCAAAGACAGUAGCUCAACUACUGAAAGGCAGUGGAAACUGAACAGCUAGAGUACGGUAGGGGCAGAGGGAAUUCCCGGUGUAGCGGUGAAAUGCGUAGAUAUCGGGAAGAACACCGGUGGCGAAAGCGCUCUGCUGGGCCGUAACUGACACUGGGGGACGAAAGCUAGGGGAGCGAAUGGGAUUAGAUACCCCAGUAGUC